ACUGUGGACGUCACAGCACAGCAGUACAGUGCAGAGUGUCGUAUGGUUUUUGUACAGUGUUUCUCAGUUUCCUGUCAUUGUGGGCUCCACAGUACAGUAGUACAGAGCAGUUCAACAGAGGAGAUCUCCAGAUCUGUAUAGGUCUUCUCUUUGUUCAGUUUAACAGUGAGGUGAGAGGAUGGAGGUUUAUCUCUCACUACAGUCCUAGAGGCAUGGAGGAUGAAGAGGAGGACUUGGGGAACUGAUCCUGGAUAAUGUUUAUACCACAGUACACUCACUGUAUGCUGAGGAGUAGUUUCAGUUUGACUGACAGUGGAGGAUCCAGACCUGGAGCCCGUGAUGGAGACCCAACACCAUGCAGGAUAAGCAGGAUAUACUGAGGAGGUGAUCCAGGGUCCUGGAGAUACCAUUGAAGAGAGACUGCAGAUGAUUCUGAAUGGACCAUCUCUUCUCAAACCUUUGAAGCCCCACCCCAAAUACAGAGAGUUGUCAGAUGAGCAGAAGUAACAACAGAUGUCUUGUUGCUGCUUGAUUCCACUGUCACAUCCUGAAAAUGUAGGGCUGCACUGAAUACCUUAGUCUCCCUCUAUUGCAUAUUACAUAAAACUGUUUGUUUAUCUCACUUUUUCAUUUGUUUCAACAAAUAAUUCACUGUUCAUUUCCAGCCUAUGUCACGACAUCCACCGAAGGUGGCUCCUCUCCCUGUCCGGGCGGUGCUCGGCGGUCGUCGUCGCCGCCCUACUAGCUGCCACCGAUCCAUUUUUCCUUUUCGUUUGUGUCUGUCUGUUUUAUCACACCUGUGUUCAUUUAGUUGAUUUCGAUGGGUUUAUUUACACCCCGCUGCCUGCUAGUCUUUGUGCGGGAUUAUUCUGUGUUACUUUGUUAAGGGUGCGUGUAUUGCACCACGGGGUUUUCUUUGCUCACGGUAAUGGUACCGUUUUGAUUUAUUUUAGUCUAGGACUUAAGUUUCUCCUCCGUGUGUUGCGUUUCUUCACUGUGUGUGGCGACUUCGUUUCAGCGUGUUUUCCCACAUGUUGUUGUUUGUUUGGGACUCCUUAAAUAAACAAUUGUGCCACUGGGA